UGCUAAUACAUGCAAGUCGAGCGAACGGACGAGAAGCUUGCUUCUCUGAUGUUAGCGGCGGACGGGUGAGUAACACGUGGAUAACCUACCUAUAAGACUGGGAUAACUUCGGGAAACCGGAGCUAAUACCGGAUAAUAUUUUGAACCGCAUGGUUCAAAAGUGAAAGACGGUCUUGCUGUCACUUAUAGAUGGAUCCGCGCUGCAUUAGCUAGUUGGUAAGGUAACGGCUUACCAAGGCAACGAUGCAUAGCCGACCUGAGAGGGUGAUCGGCCACACUGGAACUGAGACACGGUCCAGACUCCUACGGGAGGCAGCAGUAGGGAAUCUUCCGCAAUGGGCGAAAGCCUGACGGAGCAACGCCGCGUGAGUGAUGAAGGUCUUCGGAUCGUAAAACUCUGUUAUUAGGGAAGAACAUAUGUGUAAGUAACUGUGCACAUCUUGACGGUACCUAAUCAGAAAGCCACGGCUAACUACGUGCCAGCAGCCGCGGUAAUACGUAGGUGGCAAGCGUUAUCCGGAAUUAUUGGGCGUAAAGCGCGCGUAGGCGGUUUUUUAAGUCCGAUGUGAAAGCCCACGGCUCAACCGUGGAGGGUCAUUGGAAACUGGAAAACUUGAGUGCAGAAGAGGAAAGUGGAAUUCCAUGUGUAGCGGUGAAAUGCGCAGAGAUAUGGAGGAACACCAGUGGCGAAGGCGACUUUCUGGUCUGUAACUGACGCUGAUGUGCGAAAGCGUGGGGAUCAAACAGGAUUAGAUACCCUGGUAGUCCACGCCGUAAACGAUGAGUGCUAAGUGUUAGGGGGUUUCCGCCCCUUAGUGCUGCAGCUAACGCAUU
rnacentral:rRNA from 1 species